rnacentral:lncRNA from 1 species
CCGACUCUUCUCUGAAAGUUGCCUCCUAGUUCUUCGAUCAUCCGGAGAUCAUGUUGAUUACUUCCGCCAUUGGUUGGUUGUUGAAUGUUUCCACAGUUUGUGGCUGAGGUUGUUGGUUGGUGAGAGGUUGAGUCGGACAAUCUCGUCAAAAUUUUUUGAGAUAACCUCGUUGAAUCGGGACUUCUAUCUCAUCCCUGAGCUGAAUGCACUGUUCGAUGUCGUGACCAUGAUCAAGAUAGAACCGACAGUAUUUCUUCCUGUCACAGCUCCUCG